UCAUUAUUUCUUCAGUUUUAACAGAGUGCAGUUCAAUAUGAUCCAGAAUGUGUUUGUGUAUUUGGUUUUUAAGCAGCACAUAUAGGUCCCCAUCACACACUCUCUGAUGUCUUUCUUUCAAGGCUCUUGUUCUUGUGUUCAAAACUGUCACUUCCAACCAAUCACCUGCAUCUGAACCAAAGAUGAAGACACUGAAGACACACCUCUUCUGUGAGCUCUGAACUAAAGCAUUAGCAUCGGAGCACAGAGAACAUGAACAGAUCUGUAGAAACAUGGAAAAACACCUGUUUCUGAUUUUAUUUCUGACUUCAGGUGUGAUGACUGCAGACAAGAUUGGGCCAAAUAAAGAAACUAACAUUAUAAAUAAGGAAGACGAGACUGUGACCCUCAGCUGCUCAUAUGAAACAGACAGCAAUUAUGUUUAUCUUUACUGGUACAGACAGUAUCCUAACAGUGAACCUCAGUAUUUAUUAUUUAAACCUGCCCGAUCAGGUACUGCAAGUGGGGACCCCUCUGAUCCUCGCUUUCAGUCGACUGCAUCUCAAACAUCCACUGAACUCAAGAUUAACGGUGUGACUCUGUCAGAUUCAGCUCUCUAUUAUUGUGCUCUUGAAGUAGCCCAGUGAUACAAAGUCUAUGUGAAGCUGUACAAAAACUUGAACUCAUUUUUCACGUUGAUCUCAAGCCACAUCAAACCCACAAUCUAUAAUUCACAUAAUAUUAUUACACCAGUGGAAACACCUGUGUGUGGUUACAAAUGACAUCUAGUUCAAGUUAUAAAGGGAAAUUGAAAGAAAAAGUGAAAAGAUCAAAAUAACAUGUUGUGGAUUGCUAUU